UACACCCUUGCCACGUUCACGCUGAGCAAAGGCAACUGCCAUGCCACCAGUAAGUCUGUGGAGCAGCUCACCUGGGAAGAAUGAGGCCCGCAGCCUCAGGGGUGGACUUCCAACCCCAGGGUGACCUGGAUCACCUCCGUGAACUCAUGAGACCACUCAGCUAAGCCACUCCUGAAUUCCUGAUCUACUUCAAGACAACCGGGCUUGAGAUCCCCCAUAUUGCCUUUCCUGACUCUUUUCCUCCUCUGUGAAGUUAUGUACUCCUUUUGACAGUGAAGAAGCAAUUCUAGCAAUGACCCAGGGGCUCAAUGGAUAAUCAGAGCAUAGCCAGGAUUGGAAGACAGAAGACCGAAGAAGGGAAGGGACUCCAGCCAAAGGAAAGUCAAAUACUAGUGUGUUGCAAUUGGGGCUGAAAUGAGAGCAUGUGAAAGUUGAAAACAUGAGUUGUUCAACUACAAGAUAGUGGAUGAAUUUCCAGGAAGAGAGAGUGGAAUUUACAGUGUGGCAAGUUUUUCGGAUGUUAAAAAAAAAGGACUGGAAUUCUCCUUGCAUGCAACACAACUGCACAACUUAUAAAGACAUUUUGUUGAAUUGGCAUGCUCAGACUCAGAGUGUCCCAACCCUUGGUGGGGUCUUAUUUGGAAAACCUCUUGAGUGCCAUUGAGAAGCAGAGCCAAACUCCACCACAUGGGUGACCAGAAUAGCAGCACACCAAGUGAUUCACAAAGACCCACCUUUUAUCUUGCUCUGAAAAUAGAGCCGUGAAGCCCACUUUACCUGCCACUAAACAAAGUUCUAGAAUGAUGUCAUACCCAGAUUUUGUAGAAAGUUGUUUGUUUAUACAUUUCGGCUAAAGAAAAGGUUGAGAUUUUCAUUAUUCUUUUGAAUUCAUGUGGGCCCCCAGAGCAAAUUCCUGUGUUCAUGGAAUCCAGGAACUCAGCAAAUGUCACCACAUGAAAAUAUUUUUCUUGUCUUUUAAUUAAAAGACUGUCUAACAAAAUAAGUACCAGGAAAUGCAUCCUUUCAAGUAGGUAGGGUGAGGCCAAGCAGAGAGGGGUAGAAGAAUGUAGGGUAUAGGGCAAAGGAUGCAGGCAAGAAUUCAUUGGCUACACCACAGAAUUGAGAGAAAUAAGGGAAGGGGUGAGUGGAAGGAGGGUGAAGUGGUUGACGGGAUGUCACAGAUUAAGAUGUCUUGUACACAUAAACUGCUUUGUUAAGUGGCAAAAAAUUUCAGUAUAUAACCUAAAAAUUAA